UACGGAGGGUGCAAGCGUUGCUCGGAAUUAUUGGGCGUAAAGGGUAGGUAGGUGGUCUUAUUUGUCUGGGGUGAAAGCCUUGAGCUUAACUCAAGAAGUGCCCCAGAAACGGUGAGACUAGAGUCCUGGAGAGGGUCGUGGAAUUCCCGGUGUAGCGGUGAAAUGCGUAGAGAUCGGGAGGAACACCAGAGGCGAAAGCGGCGACCUGGACAGGCACUGACACUCAACUACGAAAGCGUGGGGAGCAAACAGG
rnacentral:rRNA from 1 species